rnacentral:rRNA from 1 species
CUGACCCCAUGCCGAACUCAGAAGUGAAACGCCGUCGCGCCGAUGGUAGUGUGGGGGCUCCCCAUGCGAGCGUAGGGAACUGCCAGGC